UAAGGAAUAUUGGUCAAUGGGCGGAAGCCUGAACCAGCCAUGCCGCGUGCAGGAUGACUGCCCUAUGGGUUGUAAACUGCUUUUGUCCAGGAAUAAACCUUUCUACGUGUAGGAAGCUGAAUGUACUGGAAGAAUAAGGAUCGGCUAACUCCGUGCCAGCAGCCGCGGUAAUACGGAGGAUCCGAGCGUUAUCCGGAUUUAUUGGGUUUAAAGGGUGCGUAGGCGGCCUAUUAAGUCAGGGGUGAAAUACGGUGGCUCAACCAUCGCAGUGCCUUUGAUACUGAUGGGCUUGAAUCCAUUUGAAGUGGGCGGAAUAAGACAAGUAGCGGUGAAAUGCAUAGAUAUGUCUUAGAACUCCGAUUGCGAAGGCAGCUCACUAAGCUGGUAUUGACGCUGAUGCACGAAAGCGUGGGGAUCGAACAGGAUUAGAUACCCCCGUAGUCC
rnacentral:rRNA from 1 species